rnacentral:rRNA from 1 species
UACGUAGGGUGCAAGCGUUGUCCGGAAUUAUUGGGCGUAAAGAGUUCGUAGGCGGUUUGUCGCGUCUGCCGUGAAAGUCCGGGGCUCAACUCCGGAUCUGCGGUGGGUACGGGCAGACUAGAGUGAUGUAGGGGAGACUGGAAUUCCUGGUGUAGCGGUGAAAUGCGCAGAUAUCAGGAGGAACACCGAUGGCGAAGGCGGGUCUCUGGGCAUUAACUGACGCUGAGGAGCGAAAGCAUGGGGAGCGAACAGG